GUUGUCUGGCUUGGUCUCCGGCUGCGCAGUAGCUGCCACUGACAAACUAGAUACCUUCUCACAGUUAAAGGCAUUCAGUUGACCAGAUGUCAAUAAUGUCACUGUCGUUAUACUGCUGAAACCCCAGUUUCUGGCACAAUAAGAUGAUUGCCAGCAGAAGAUUUCUGUGUGUUUGGGCCAAUGUUUGAGGUAGCACGACGUGGUUCUAGCUAGCAUUAGCUUAAGUUAUAAGAUUGACAAGAUAGACGGCUAAAGUUCCUCCGGAGUGAGAUGGGUAACACUGAGCUGACCAGAGGUAGUUCAUGCAGCACGUUAGCCGGCUGAAUGCCACAUGGUAAUAAGAACAUUUCCAAAUGGAUUAAUCUUUCAAAACAGGUCGUUUUGUUAGGGCUUCAUUGUGAAUACUGGUUUUAAAGAAGCAGCGGUGUCUGGCCGUAGCUGUCAAAGUCUCGCUAGUCCUGGCUGCAGUGCUGGCCUAGGAAGCUAGCAGCAACACAGCUAGCUGCACGCCUGGCUCAUCCACCAAAGUUGCUUGUUGUUGAUGGCCUCCCUGCCAGCCAUGGAAACUGACACAUGCCCUGCUGUGCACCAAAAUGGGAACGCCCAUCGGGAAUCUCCGGAUACAAGGCCAGCCGCUGCUGUUCUAAGGCUUCAUUUCUACCACAGCGGCCAAGGAGUGGGCGACUGCAGCACUCUCAGCUACCCACCUGGAAACUAUGUAGCUGAGGAGUUGUGUAUAGAUGCAGCCAAGGCAUGCAGUAUAUCCCCUCUGUACUGUAACCUCUUUGGUCUCUUCCGAGAGAGAGACCGCCUGUGGUUUUCACCCAAUCACAUCUUCCAGCUGGACGAACAUGCUUCUGAGGAUGUGUUUUACCGAAUAAGGUACUACUUCCCUGGCUGGUACAGUGGAGGGGCAUCCCGGGCUUACCGAUACGGUGUCACCAAGGGAUCAGAAAGCCCAAUCCUUGAUGACUUUGUGAUGUCAUACCUCUUCUCUCAGUGGAGGAAUGACUUUGUUAAUGGCUUGGUGAAGAUCCCGAACUCCCAUGAGACUCAGGAGGAGUGCCUUGGUAUGGCUGUGCUCGAUAUGUCGAGAACAGCCAAAGAGAAACAGAUGUCACCGCUGGACAUCUACCACACGAUAAGCUACAAGUCUUUCUUGCCAAAAGAUAUGAGAGCUCAGAUCCAGGACUGCAACUUUGUGACACGCAAGCGUAUCCGAUUCCGUUUUAAGCGUUUUAUCCAGCAGUUCAGUCAGUGUCGUACCACAGCGCGUGACCUCAAGCUCAAAUACCUGAUCAGCAUGGAGUCCCUGGAUAAGGCGUUCUACACAGAGACCUUCCAGGUCAGGGAGCCAGUGAGUGGACAGGCUAUCAUCGUGGUGGCAGCGGACAUUGGCAUUCAGAGGUGUCGAGAGAAACUGAAAGACUCUGACCAGGAGCUGCAGACCUUUUGCGACUUCUCUGACGUCAUCGACAUGAGCAUCAAACAGGUCAUCAAGGAGGGAGCUGCAGAGAGUCGGGUGGUCACCAUCUCUAAACAAGAUGGGAAGAAUCUGGAGCUGGAGUUCCCCAGCCUUUAUGAAGCCCUGUCCUUUGUGUCCCUCAUCGACGGCUACUACCGCCUGACGACAGACGCACAUCACUACCUGUGUAAAGAAGUAGCUCCUCCCAGGCUGGUGGAGGCCAUUGCUUCCCAUUGCCAAGGCCCCAUCUCAAUGGAGUUUGCGAUCAACCGACUUCAGAGGUGUGGAAACAAGCGAGGAUUGUACAUUUUGAGGCGUAGCCCCAAAGAUUACAACAAGUAUUUUCUCACGUUCCCUGUUGAGGUGUACGGCGCUGUAGAAUACAAGCACUGCCAGAUAACCAGAUCUGACAGCAGGGAGUUUAACCUCAGUGGAACAAAAAGAAACUUCAGCAGCUUGCAGGAGCUUCUCAGCUGCUACCAAAAGGAAACUGUGCGCUCUGACAGCAUAAUUUUCCAAUUCAGCAAGUGCUGUCCACCUAAAUCCAAAGAAAUGUCUUGCCUCCUUGUAUGCAGAAGCAACAAGGGCUCUGAAGUGCCUCUGUCUCCUUCUCUACAUCGUAGAAACAUCAGUCAGAUGGUGUUUCACAAGAUCAGGAAAGAAGACCUUGAAUUUAUGGAGAGUCUCGGUCAAGGGACAUUCACUAAGAUAUUCAAAGGGGUCCGCAAAGAGGUGGGAGAUUAUGGACUCGUGCACCAAACUGAAGUUGUCAUGAAAGUCCUGGACCAGGCCCACCGAAACUACUCUGAGUCUUUCUUUGAAGCUGCCAGCAUGAUGAGCCAGUUGUCCCAUAAGCACCUGAUCCUUAACUAUGGUGUGUGUGUCUGCGGAGAUGAAAAUAUCAUGGUGCAGGAGCUUGUGAAGUUUGGUUCUCUGGACACCUACCUGAAGAAGAACAAGAACUUGAUAAACAUCCUGUGGAAGCUGGAGGUGGCUAAGCAGCUGGCCUGGGCCAUGAACUUCCUGGAGGAAAAGCAUCUUGUCCACGGGAAUGUCUGUGCAAAAAAUGUUCUUCUGAUCAGAGAGGAGGACCGGCGGACUGGGAACCGCCCCUUCAUCAAACUGAGUGACCCUGGCAUCAGCAUCAAUGUCCUGCCCAGAGAAAUCCUGAUUGAGAGGAUCCCUUGGGUGCCGCCUGAAUGUGUCGAGGACCCCACCAGCCUGAGCCUGGCUGCAGACAAGUGGAGCUUUGGCACCACACUCUGGGAGAUCUGCAGCGGUGGGGAGAAACCUUUAGCAACACUAGACAACACAAAGAAACCCCUGUUCUACGAGGAUCACCACCAGCUUCCUGCACCAAAGUGGACCGAACUGGCCAAUCUGAUCACCAGCUGCAUGGACUACGAGCCCGCGUUCAGGCCAUCGUUUCGCACCGUUAUCCGUGACCUCCACAGCCUCUUCACACCAGACUAUGAGUUGAUUGUGGACAGUGACAUCGUGCCAAACAGGACAGUGGGAUCCGGCUGGUCCACUGGGGGCUUUGAGAGCCAGGAGCCGGCCCAAUUUGAAGAGAGACACCUCAUAUUCCUACAGCAGCUGGGCAAGGGAAACUUUGGCAGCGUGGAGAUGUGUCGAUAUGACCCGCUUCAGGACAACACCGGAGAGGUCGUGGCCGUGAAGAAACUCCAGCACAGCACUGCAGAACACAUACGAGACUUUGAGCGAGAGAUCGAGAUCCUGAAGUCUCUGCAGCAUGAGAACAUCGUUAACUACAAAGGAGUUUGCUACAGUGCAGGACGACGAAAUCUCUGUCUCGUCAUGGAAUAUCUGCCCUAUGGAAGUCUGCGAGAUUACCUCAUGAAAAAUAAGAAGAGGAUCGACCACAAUAAGCUUGUGCAUUACACCUCGCAAAUCUGCAAGGGUAUGGAGUACCUGUCGAGUAAGCGUUAUAUCCACAGAGACUUGGCAACACGGAACAUCCUUGUGGAGAGUGAGCUGAGGGUGAAGAUCGGAGACUUCGGCCUUACCAAAGUUCUGCCUCAGGACAAAGAGUACUACAUGGUCAAAGAGCCAGGAGAGAGUCCCAUAUUUUGAAAAUGAUACUGUGGAACUGCGCUCCACACCCCGGGAAGAAGGAGGGAAAACUGCGGCUGGUUGCAGGAAAACUUUUAUUGUCUCUCUCUCAGCCUUUCGGCUAGACACACACAACUCUCUCUCGGCCUUUCGGCUAGACACACAAACUCUCUCUGCGAUGGUCCACCUAAGGCUCCGAUGGGCGCUCCGCUGCCUUCAGGAGCCCAGCCUACUGCAAGAGACCAGAACCAGGUUACCAACAUGCUUAUCUUGUGGUGGCGGCGGCCCCACAACCCGGACCAACUGUCCGACCUCCAUGCGCGGGUACUCCCGUCAGAAGUGGCCGGGCUGCCCACACCGCCAGCUCUCCUGCCCAGGCGUCUGAGGAGCCCCCCAGGGUGCCGCAUGACCAGACACAUAGGCUGGGCUCUGUGGAGAGAGAAGCAGAGGGGGAGAGGGCCGUGGUGGAGGAGCAUAGGCGGGAGGAGAGGGCGCAGCUGCCGCCAUUGCCGCCGCCUGGAACCUCCUCCGCGGAGCCGGGGUGGGCCGGCCCACUGGGACUGCCGGUGCUCGCGCUACCUCCUUCAGGCUCCGCCGGGGAAGGGAGAGAUGGUCCUCUGCGAGAACGACGGCUGCCUCAAGGCUGGCGGGGCGGUGGCACUGGACCCAGUUGGCCGUGGAGGAUGGCAGGCCGGCGAUGAAUUGCUCCAGUGCCACCUGCCCGACGACGUCCUCAGCGGAGUUUACUCCCGGGCGGAGCCAGCGCCUUACCGCAUCGAGGAGCUCCUGCGCGUAGGAGAAGUGGCGGCCGGCGUCCUCAUACAGAAGCCCCCUGAACCGGCGGCGAUAUCCUUCGGGCGUGCAGCCCAGCCGGUCCAGGAUGGCCUUCCGCAGGGGUGCGUAUUCGUAACGGGAGGACGCCGGCAUGCUGUGCGCCGCUAACUGGGCUUCCCCGGAGAGCAGAGGGAGCAGCCGCACAGCCCACUCCUCCUCCGGCCACCCACACGCCGCCGCCGUGCCCUCAAAGAUCCCCAGGUAUGCCUCCGUAUCAUCCUCGGCGGACAUCUUCGGGAGGGUAAUCGGCGGUGGCCUGGCCGGUUCGGCCGGCCGGGUGGCCGAGCGCUGCAGCAGCUCCUGCAGGAGAGCCCGGUCCUCGCUCUGGGACGCAGCGAGGUCCACGAGGGCUUGGGUCUGUUGUUGUUGUAGCGCGGUGGGCUCUGCUGUCCAUCUCCCUCCAUCGUCACCGUCUGAGGGUCCAGGGUUCAAGUCCCUGUUCAGGCGCCACUUGUGGAGCUGCGCUCCACACCCCGGGAAGAAGGAGGAAAAACUGCGGCUGGUUGCAGGAAAACUUUUAUUGUCUCUCUCGCAGCCUUUCGGCUAGACACACACAACUCUCUCUCGGCCUUUCGGCUAGACACACAAACUCUCUCUGCGAGGGUCGACCUUUUGCUAUGAUUUUGUUUGGAAACUAAAAUACCUGUCCUACUGUUGAAAUCAAUUUGAAACUCACAAGCUUCUUAAGACAAAGCACAUCAUAGAGAGAGAGAGUGAUACAGUGUGCUAUUUUUUUAGGUAUGCCCAGCCUACUGCAAGAGACCAGAACCAGGUUACCAACAUUCUUAUCUUGUGAGACUAAUUACCUGAUUCUGGCCAGCUGUCUGAGUCACUCCCCUCCCCCUGCCAGCAGCCAGCGCCAUAACCACGCCCCCCUGCCACAGAUACAUUAUCAGAAUCCAAGUUGGGAAUACCUGUCCUACUGUUGAAAUCAAUUUGAAACUCACAAGCUUCUUAAGACAAAGCACAUCAUAGAGAGAGAGUGAUACAGUGUGCUAUUUUUUUAGGUAUGCCCCUGAGUCGUUAACAGAGAGCAAGUUCUCUGUGGCGUCAGAUGUCUGGAGCUUUGGAGUCGUGCUUUAUGAGCUCUUCACCCACAGCGAAAAGACCUCCAGCCCUCCUGCAGUUUUCAUGUCCAUGAUGGGAAAUGACAAGCAGGGACAGCUGAUCGUCUAUCACCUCAUCGAGCUCCUCAAAUCAGGCAGCAGGCUGCCUCAACCUCUGGGGUGUCCCGCAGAGAUACAACAGAUCACAG